UACGAAGGGGGCUAGCGUUGCUCGGAAUCACUGGGCGUAAAGCGCACGUAGGUGGCUUUGUAAGUUAGAGGUGAAAGCCCGGGGCUCAACUCCGGAACUGCCUUUAAGACUGCAUCGCUUGAAUCCAGGAGAGGUGAGUGGAAUUCCGAGUGUAGAGGUGAAAUUCGUAGAUAUUCGGAAGAACACCAGUGGCGAAGGCGGCUCACUGGACUGGUAUUGACGCUGAGGUGCGAAAGCGUGGGGAGCAAACAGG
rnacentral:rRNA from 1 species